GGAUUAGAUACCCUGGUAGUCCACACCGUAAACGAUGAAUGCCAGUCGUCGGGUAGUAUAGUAUUCGGUGACACACCUAACGGAUUAAGCAUUCCGCCUGGGGAGUACGGUCGCAAGAUUAAAACUCAAAGGAAUUGACGGGGGCCCGCACAAGCGGUGGAGCAUGUGGUUUAAUUCGACGCAACGCGAAGAACCUUACCCAGACUUGACAUUGAAGGAAUCCUUUAGAGAUAGAGGAGUGCUCUUCGGAGCCCUGAAAACAGGUGCUGCAUGGCUGUCGUCAGCUCGUGCCG
rnacentral:rRNA from 1 species